UGAUUAAAUGGCUGAAAUUUAGGCAAUAGACUGUAAAUCUAUUUAUGGGAAUAAUCUCUUUAAUCAA
rnacentral:tRNA from 1 species